UGGGGAAUAUUGCGCAAUGGGCGAAAGCCUGACGCAGCAACGCCGCGUGUGUGAUGAAGGCCUUCGGGUUGUAAAGCACUUUCGAUCGGGAAGAAGGCUGGGCGUGUGAAUAGCGCGUUCAGUUGAUGGUACCGGAAGAAGAAGCACCGGCUAACUUCGUGCCAGCAGCCGCGGUAAUACGAAGGGUGCGAGCGUUGUUCGGAUUUACUGGGCGUAAAGGGUUCGUAGGCGGGAGAAUAAGUUGAAUGUGAAAUCCCUGGGCUCAACCCAGGACGGGCAUUCAAGACUGUUUUUCUUGAGUGUUGGAGAGGGUCGUGGAAUUGCUGGUGUAGGAGUGAAAUCCGUAGAGAUCAGCAGGAACACCUGAGGCGAAGGCGACGACCUGGCCAAACACUGACGCUGAGGAACAAAAGCGUGGGGAGCAAACAGG
rnacentral:rRNA from 1 species